rnacentral:rRNA from 1 species
UUCAAGAGUACGUGAAACCGUUCAGGGGUAAACGGGAGAAAUCCUGAAUUCGAAAGGGAUUGGAUUCAAGUCUAUCCGAGUGUAUGACGGGACACCCUUGAAAGACGGCGUCGGACGCCCGCGGCGAUUCAGUUCGUUGGCGGUGUCGUUCCUGGCGUUCACUCGUCUUGGGUUCGACUCCCCGGCACCGGAAGGGUGCACUUCCUCCCUAGUAGAAACGUCGCGACCCGUUGGGUGCCGGUCUUAAGGCUCGGGAUGGCAGACCGCGUGUCCUGCGGGGGUUCCCGCAGGCGUGUGGACUCUCGAUGACCCGGCCGGCUGCCCGACGGUAUGACCAGAGGAGUCGAUCCGCUGAAUGGGAAACACUGUGGUUGUGUAGCGUCCGGCCCUUCGCUGAUGUGCCGCAGGGAUUAGGCGAAUGCCGUGGGUGCUCGUGCCUAGCACGGGCUCCCGGCCCUGUUGCGUCUUCGGUCGAUGUGGUCUCGGACCGGAU